AGUGGCAAUUGGUUGAUCGCUGAGUUUUCUCAGAGGAAAGUCCGGGCUUUAUGUAAGCAAGGUGUCGGAUAACAUCCGGCGUUGAAGAAGGAAAGUUUCUUCAAUAGGGAAAGUGCAACAGAAAAUAUACCGCCUUUUUUAGGUAAGGGUGAAAUGGCGUUGGUAAGAGCACACCGCAUAUUUGGUAACAAAUAUGGCUUUGCAAACCCCACUUAAAGCAAGACCAAAUAGGAGUAACACGGAAUUUAUCCAUAAUCGCUUACAAUUAAAGUUACUCGGGUAGGUUGCUUGAGCUUAUUGGUAACAAUAAGUCUAGAUGAAUGAUCAAACAGAGGAGAAAUCCUUGGACAGAACCCGGCUUAUAGAUUGCCACUAUAU
rnacentral:RNase_P_RNA from 1 species